rnacentral:snRNA from 1 species
GUACUUGCUUCACUGCAUAUAAAAUUGGAAUGAUACAGAGAAGAUGAGCAUGGAAGUGCAAGAAUAACAAAUUCGUGAAGCCUUCUAUAUCUAU